UCCGCUCUCUAACUAAAAUGCAAACCUUCAAAAGAAAUCGACAACGAAGAAGAAAGGCACAGACCAAACAGCAAAUAUAAACCCUUAAACCUUAAAAUCAAAACCGAUAUUCUACAGUUAAAAGUACUAUCAGAAAAAGCCAUUGUUGCCUAGAAAACCACUAACCUGACCCUCAAUCUACAAUGCAGGUCUGAAAUCUUGCUCUAAAAAUCGUUGACACUGAUAAUUCCUAGGGUUUCCAUUUACUUUUGUUUCUUUGCGUUAAUGAACAAUAAGAGAGCGAUUACAUGACGAGUUUAGACCCGGGUCUCCGCCGCAGCCGAGAUGUCUGGUAGAGACACUGGAAUUCGAGAAAACUGGCAGCUCCCCCAUUCGUAUCGGUCUCUUUGUUCGGCUCGGCCCGAACAUGAUGAUCGGUAUGGAGUGUUUUCUAGAAUCGAAGAAAAAAAUUUGUAUGGCGGCGACUACAGAACUUGGUCUCCACCUCCCGUGAGAAAUCCGGAAAGCGAAAAAUUAGGAAUAGGAGGAAACCGGUGUUUUUCGUGUUUGAACCGGACGAAUGAUCCGGUUCGGUCCGAAACGGGCCGGUAUGUUGAGAUGGGUUUAGUUCAACGAGGUGAGUAUAGUGAAGAGAGAGAUAGGCAGUGGCCAAAACUGUCAGGGUUUAAUGAAUCUUUGUCAGGAAUGGGAAGAGAGUCAACUUUUACGAAGUUCCAAUGGAACAAUUUGUUGGGACAUGAAAAAACCCCAAAUGCUAAUAAAAAAGGAAACAAUCUUGGUGCGUUUAGUGAUUCAAAUGUGGUCCCAAUCUCCAUCACAGUGGAAAGUGGUGGUGGCCCUGCACCUGGUGGGGGCUCAUCAAGAACUUCCUUUAGCCACCUGAUGGACGCUACUGAUAGUAGUAGCAGAAAUUAUGGGCUUAUUGAUGGUGGAUAUCCCUCUUCUUCACCUCUAGGAAAAUUUGAAGUGGGAGAGAAAGAAAAUAGCUUCCUUGACUUAGUUGUGGACAAGUUUGAAGGAAAAACUGAUAUUUAUAAUUUAAGGGAUAAUAUGAUGAAAGAGAGGAGAGUACUAUUAGAAAAUGAGACUUCAUUUGGUGAAGUUGAGAAGGAUUCCAGGAGUUUGAAGUUGAAUGCUGAAAAUCUACAGUACGUAGCAAGGUGCGGUUUUGAAAGACAUGGUGGCGGGGGCGGUGGUAGUGAUGGUAAUGGUUCUUAUGGAGAUGAUUUUGAGAGGUUACCUAUAUCAUACGAAGAAUUGUGUUCUACUGGUAGUUAUUCCCAAAGGCUGCUCAAUCCUGAGGAGGCAUCAGAAAUUAAACUCAGGAGAAAAAGUAGUUUAGAUAUGGAAACAGACAGUGAUGAUAAAAAAAUAAUGUUAUCAUAUGAUUUGAGUCCCUUUGAUGGCUUUGAGGAAAUCCCCUAUUCAACUCAUGGGGAUGGAGAUUGGACUUAUGAAGAUACUAAGCAAUCGCCAUUGUUAGAGAACUCAGGAUGGGGACAGUACCAAGGUGGGAUUGAUGGAAUAAUGAUCGACGGAAUGGGCAUUAAUGGAAACGCCACCUCUCGAAAUUCCUUAUCAUCUAAAUUUUUAACAUUAGCAAAGCAAAGGAAUUCAAGCAAACCUUUUAAGUCUUCUAAAAGAGAUUUAAAGCACAGACUGGGCCCGGUUCAAAGUGUAAAGCAGCGUUUAGGGCCUGCUCUAAAUGUAGGAAAGAGCUUGGGGGUAGCUCCGAUUGUUAAGAAGAAACUUCCUUGGUUUAAAUUACCAAAACGAAAAAUUCUUGACGAUUGUGAACAGAACAUUAAUGCUAAAGGAGUGAUAUCGUCAGAAGUGAAGAAGAAGAGAUAUGCCAAGACGGAGCCACCUGAGGACACUGAGGAAUUCAUGCAGCUUGUGCAAAAUGCUUUCUUGAAGUUUGUCAAACUUUUGAAUGAAAAUUCAUUUAACAGAAGGAAAUACCUGGAGAAAGGAGGAGCUGGCACUCUGAAGUGCAGCAUUUGUUGCAGUGGCUCCAAGGAAUUUGUGGACACAUUAAGCCUGGCACAGCAUGCCUUCAUGUCUUGUAAAAUUGGAUCCAGGUCAGAGCACUUAGGUCUUCAUAAAGCACUUUGUGUGUUGAUGGGAUGGAAAAACACAAAAGUUCUAAAUGGUCAAUGGGUUCGGCAGAUAUUGCCUGAAUCCGAAGCCUCAUCAUUGAAGGAGGACCUUAUCAUCUGGCCUCCAGUUGUUAUCAUCCACAACAGUUCCAUAACAAAUCAUAAUCUAAAUGAACGUAUGAUUGUAAGUAUUGAAGGGCUGAAGGAUAUUCUUAGAGGUAAGUAAACUUUUAUAACACUCUGAUAACAUCCUGAUUCUAAAACUCCGUUACUGAUUGACAUCCUGAUUCUAAAACUCCGUUACUGAUGGAUCACAAAAUCAUUUUCAUCUUCUCCCACAGUCCAAGUAGGAAAAUGUUUUCUUCAAAGUCAUGCUGUUUUACUUGUAAUUGACAAACUUUAUUUCCAAUUUUGCAACACCUCUUAUGAUUUCAAAUCAUUAGUCAUUUUUGAGAUCUUAUUGUUCUUCAUUGUAAUGAUAUCAUAAUGGUUUCCCAAUUCUCCCCAAUUUGGUUAAUUUCAUGUCUUCUUAAGUUAUCUGUGUUUGUACCAAUGAGAUCAAUGGUAGUGACAUUGUCCCCAAAAGCUGUGUUUGUGGGUUAGAACCCCUGUCAUAAUCUAAUUAAUAAAAGGAAAUGUUCUAUUUUUGUUCUUGAAAAUCGUUUUCUUGUGAUUCUUUCACUCAUAUAAGAAUUUGAAGGAGAAUGUGUACUCAGGAUUUCUAUGCAGAGCCAGUGGACUUGUCAUUUGGCAGGUUUCACAUGAAUGGCUUGCUUCAGAAUUGACUUGAUGCACUUCUGCCCUUUACAGCAAGCUUGGUCUUGUGGCCGACCCCAAAAACAAUUUGUAUGGGAUGUGAGCAACGGAUGACCAAUCUCUGUCGUGGGAAGGCUGCAAAUCAGAGUACUAUGGUGGUGAGCUUCAGUGGCACUUUUU